rnacentral:snoRNA from 1 species
ACCCUCUCAGGGUCGCAUCUGGAGAGUUUCCAGUCCUCUACCAGUCUCGACUACAGGAGGGAGAGUGGAGCAGAGGCCUACCUAUUCCAUUCCUACUUGGCCAGGGGCUAGUGAGUGGAAGGCCAUCUGCCAAAAGU